rnacentral:rRNA from 1 species
CCCUUAGAUGUUCUGGGCCGCACGCGUGCUACACUGAGUGGAUCAGCGGGUCAGGUUGCGCGAAAGCGUUUCCUAAUCUUUAAAUCCGCUCGUGAUGGGGAUUGACGGUUGCAAUUUUCUGUCAUGAACGAGGAAUACCUUGUAAGCGCGGGUCAUCAUCCCGCGCUGAAUACGUCCCUGCCCUUUGUACACACCGCCCGUCGCUACUACCGAUCGAGCGCCCUAGCGAGGUCGUCCGAUUGUCGCCGAGGCCGGCUUUCGCGAGCUGCGCAUCCGACGAAAAGGCGAUCGAACUCGAGCGCUUAGAGGAAGUAAAAGUCGUAACA